rnacentral:lncRNA from 1 species
UUUCUUUAUGACGCAAUAAACUAAACGUCAUAACGUUGACGUUGUUUCAUAGCAUCUCCAUUUUGUUACCGUAGCACAAAAACUUCGACAAAACACAAUGCCUGAUAAGCGGAGAAAAUCGUUCCUUUCACGAUUUCUUCAUUUAUGUUGUUGCUGCAUAACGGCGAAAUGUGAUGGAAACGAAAUGGAAGACAAUGAUGACAUUAUUGUAACCAGGGUUUACAAAUCUUCAAGCGCUGAAAAUUUUGUAGGUAAGAAUGAUUUGACCCCUGGAUUCCCUUACAUGGCAAAAGCAAGCCGAAGCGAUAUAUGCAACGAUGUGGUUAGAACCGAGAAGAUGACAAAGAAAGCAGCAAGAAAUAAGAAAGGAACACAGAAAAUAAAGAGGAAUUCGAUUGUUUUGGACAGCGCUGCUGGAAACGAUGUCGGCGGCGACACAAGAGAUGUCCGGUUUGAUGACAGCGACGGUCUGGAAAUUCUAAACGCCUUUUGAGCUUUUUGUGGUAAAAAUCUUUCUGCAGCUUUAGAAUACAGCAAGUGACAUCAAGACCAUGAAUGAAUCUUGUAUUGAUGGUUUUUCCCGUGUCAGGGACGAAUUGUUGUACACCGCCACCCUUUGUAGACCCCCCAAGUACAGCGAGAGAUGCAUGCUCCGAACUGACUGUAAAUGUUUCUAUAUACCCUCCAGCUUCUGUAACAUGCGCUAUUCCGGACAAUGACUAAUGAUAACUACGGGGGUUAUGCUCAAACCACAGCCGUAGAUUCAGAACAAGAAAUACUGGAUAUUCGGUCAAAUGCAAUACAAAUGUAAACCCAUUGAUGGAAAAUUAGGAAAUUUCUAUUUGCUCAUUAUGGAGUGCAAACUUACAUUGUUUAUGUUUGAAGAAUUGCCAAUUUAUCCGAUAUAAAUUUGUUUUCAAACGUUA